UUUUACCAUGCUCUAAUUAUUUAAAUACCUUCUAUAUCCACUCUUGGACCGUGUUCGAUGAGUAUCAAUUGUUUCGGUUCUGUGUGGCAAAUAAAUAUUUUUAUAUCGAUAUGCAAGUGGAGAUGUUCUUCUCAUGUAUCUACUGGUCAUCAGAGGUUCUACUCCUGAAACUCCCCAGUCUGUUAUAAAGAAUGACACAUUCAGGGUGAAGGCUGAAGCAUCCGGAUAAGAUGGCAAUAGCUCUGACUAGAAAUUAAAUGGUAAACAA
rnacentral:lncRNA from 1 species